GUUUCCAUGACAUUAAAAAUCAGCUAAACACCUACCUGAGAAAUAGUCUCCCACAAUAAAAGGGAAAGAGAGAAGGGGAGAGUGAUGCUUUGGUUUUUUGGAAGGAAAACUUCAAUGACUGAAACUAAUUUUGUCUUUGGCAAGUGUCACAUAGGCUGACUGAGUCAACUGCUUCCAAGCCCUAAUUGAAAGCAUUUCAGUAAGCGAGACACCAAAAGGCACUUGGACAGUAGCAGCACACACAUGUCCAUGUGCGCAUAUUUCCUUCUGAGAAUUGAGUAAAAAAUUGCAUGAAUGACUAAAAAAUUGCAUGAGUGACUAAGAAAUUGCUGUCUACCUUUGACAUCUCUCAAUAGCUGUCAACACUGUGGAGCAUAACCCCCAGGUGAGACCAAAAAUCCGCCAGCAAGAUACUUCAAAAAAAAUUAAAGACAGCCCUAAAAAUGAAUCCAAAUCCACUAGCUGAUCUUCAGGGAGAGGUGAGGCAUCAUGCAGCACUCCACUCAGCUGCGUGGCUGAGCACUGACAAACUCAAUUUGCUGGAGGAGAGCAUGAGAUGACACGGUGCAGUCGCUGCUGCUGUGAUAUGGACAAAUGGCCUCUUUUGUUCCAAGCAAGACGUCACCUGUCCUGAGGAAGUGCAUCUGUGCAUAGGAAUGGUCUGACAGCCCCAGGCUGGAGUAUGUGUCUCUCCCAACUACUCUGUCACCCAGACACAAAUGAAUUCACAUCUCAGCAAAUGCGAGUUGGUCCCUGGGGAUCCCUUCCCAGGAUGCUUGUCAAG